UAGAAGUUAUACCAUGGGCCCUCCAAGUUUCUCGGAGCAGCCAGGAAACCCAACAGGAAGAUGCUGAACUUGCCUAAAAGAACUUUCCAGAAGGCAUUGGGAUAACUACUCCAUAUUUUAAACCAUAUGGAUAAUGGCCUCAAGCUCCAUCCAUGUUGCUGCAAAAGACAUGAUCACAUUAUUUUUUAUGGCUACAUAGUAUUCCAUCGUAUAUAUGUACCACAUUAAACUAAAGAGCCUCUGCACAGCAAGAAAGCUAUCAACAGAGUAAACAGACAAUCAACAGAAUGCGAGAAGAUAUUUACAAAUCAUGUAUCCAACAAAGGUCUACUAUCCAUAAUUUAAAGGAACUUAAAUAAAUUAAGCAAAAAACAAAAAAACCCAUUAAAAAGUGGGCAAAGGAAUAGACACUUUUCAAAUGAAGACAUACAUGUGGCUAGCAAGCCUAUGAAAAAAUUCUUAGCAUCACUGAUCAUUAGAGAAAAGUAAAUCAAAACCGUAAUGAAAUACUAUCUCACACCAGUCAAAACCACAAUGAAAUACCAUCUAACACUAUCUCACCAACCUCAGUAGCAUCUGUUAAAAAAUAACAGAUGCUGGCAAGGUUGCAGAGAAAGGGGAAUACUUAUACACUGCUGAGGGAAAGGUAAAUUAGUAAAGCCAUUGUGGAAAGUAGUUUGGCGAUUUGUCAAAGAACUUAAAACAGAAUUAUCAUUCAACCCAGAAAUCCCAUUAUUGGGUAUUAUUGGGUAUUCGCAAAGGAAUAUAAAUCAUUCUACCAUAAAGACACAUGCACAUGUAUGUUCAUCAUAGCACUAUUUCACAAUAGCAAAAACAUGGAAUCAACCUAAAUGUCCUGCUUCUUUUUAUAAGGAAACUAAUCCAAUAAUGAAGGAUCCAUUUUCAUAACCUAAUAACCUCCCUAAAACCCUAUCUAAAAAUACCAUCACAUUGGAGAUUACGGUUUCAACAUAUGGAUUUUGAGGGGAACCCAAACAUUUAGUCCACAGCAAUAGUAUCAGAAGACAUAGAUCACUGAUUUUAAGAUGGGCACAUACCAAUUAAAAAUAUUUGAACUCUGGGAGCCCAUACCCUAAUACAGAAUCCACAUCUUAGGACAGCACACCUGACAUCAGAAAGAUCACACUAUGCCCUAGGACUAUACAGUCUUCCUUUAUCUAUAUGCAUGCUGUAUGUCAGAAAAGAGUUUUCAUUUGUGGAUUUAAUUGCUCGUGAAUCAACUCGAUGAAUGUCAGAAAUAGGCUUUUACUGUAAAAAGUAUUCAAGAUAUGGAGACUAAAAAUAUGUAUCAAAGAGUUUUCUCACACUUCCAUGAAAACCUCAUUAUAAACAUCUAUGAAGUCUUGCUCUUUUAUCCACGGGGAUACUGCUUGAGGAUAAAUCCCCGGAGCUUCUAGCUGUGAACUGCGGGAUUCUGGUUGCUGAUGCCAGCCACGCGGAGUAGUCCCUACAUUUGGAAUCCCAGCUUGAAUAAACUCUCUGUGAAAGACUUGGAGGGCCUUGAGUCUGCAAGGUGCUUUUUUUUCUGAAGCUUUGGUAGUGUAACUGUAAGAGUCCUGGAAUUGGAAAAGCAAAUCCAGAAGUUGAGUUCCAUGACUUUUUUGCUGUUUGCCUUUGGACUUGCAUCAUUUAUAUUUUUAAUUCAUCGAGGAUGAGAAAAUUGAUUAACACAAAAUCUUUUCAUGUCUUUUCUGAUGAGAGACUAGCUGAAUCCAAGAAGAGAAGCCCUUGAAGAGUGUAUUCUAUUCUAGACAAGCAUUCACACAUUGGCUUCUUUGGUGCCAGAUUAAAGAAUGAAGAAAGGAUCAAAUUGAGACAUCCAGGGGGGAAGAGUUCCCUGGCAAAACUCCAAUCUGCCUGAGCACUGAGGUGGAGCCACAGAAGUCCGGGUCAUUUGCACCUGGGAGGAGCCUGGCCCCUCCUCUUCCUGUGUGGAAUCUGGGAUUUAAUCUGUGAGGAGGGAAGGCCAAGGGCAGGAAGCACAGGCUCUCACUUCACUAAGAGUCUCUGUUUCCCCUUUUUUUCCUUUAUGCCUAAUUAAUAAAUCCCAUUUUUCUCACUCUUCAAAUAGUCUUCAAGCCUAAAUUUUCAUGACCAUGGAACAAGGACCCCAUCUUUAGCUGAACUAAGGAAAAGUCCUGCAACAAAAUUCUUUGCUAAAAAUACAUGAGGUUGCCUUUUCCUUCUUAAUCUUAAAAGAAAUAUAUUUCAAUGGUUAACGUUUUAGUAAUUCAAAAAUUAUCAAGCAUUUGUUCACAACCAUAAGAUGUGCAUUGUUUUAUAUUCCUACUUAAUAAUAGACUAUAAUUGUCUAAUUAGACUGCCGAUGUUGAUCUUUGUGGCUCAUUGCAUUGAUUAUAAGCAGUGUUUUGGGUUUGUGUGUGUGUGUCAAAUUUAGGGUUUUUUUGGUAUGGCUGCUGGUUGGUGUAGCCUGUAUCCAGUAUCCUGUAUUAAUUCUAAUAUUUGCAUUUUGAACAUAUUUACAAGUUGCUAAAAUAGCAAAGCUUCGAGAUGAGCCUGGCUGAUAUGGCAAAACCCCGUCUCUACUAAAAAUACAAAAAUUAGCCUGGUGUGGUGGUGCAUGCCUGUAAUCCCAGCUACUUGGAAGUCUGAGGCAGGAGAAUCUCUUGAACCCAGAAGGUGGAGGUUGCAGUGGGCCAAGAUCGCACCACUGCACUCCAGCCUCGGUGAUAGAGCGAGACUACGUCUCAAAAAUAAAAUAAAAUAAAAUAAAAUAAAAAUAGCAAAGCUAUGUAUGGUUUCUCUGAGUUUUGUAAUUUAUCAUUGUUAACUGCAGAAAUUUAUUAUAUGAGACAUAUUAUAUGAGACAUAUAAGUGAAUUUGGAUUGGGUUUAAUUUUAUAUUUUUGAAUAUAGUUCUUCAAGAUAAAUUUUAUCUUAGACCUCAAGAAAUAAAAAUAAAAUAAAUUAGAUAUACAAACGAACACAAAUGUAUGCAGUCCUAGCCUAAUUUAAGACAUUAACUUGGAUAAGUCAAAGGUAUAUGUUGCAAUUCCUGGAGUAACCACUAAAAAUAAUACAAUACUAUUAUAUCUAGAAAUCUAAUAGAGUAAUUAAAAAGUUUUAUUAAUCCCCAAAAAGGCAGAAAAGUUAGGACAUACACAUAUACACACACACACACAGACAGAUACAAAAACAAUAGCAGUUAGAGACCUAAAUAAAACAAUCAUCAUAAUUAUACCAGGAAAAGACUGCUAAACAGAAUUUUAAAAGGAUCGAUUUUAUCCUGUCUAUAAGAGAUGCAUGUUAGAAACAAAAAUACAAGAAGAUUGAAGCAAAAAGAUGAAAAAAGAUGAUAUACUAAGCAAACAACAGUAAGUUAAAGAAAGUUGGAUGACAAUACCAACAUUGGAAAAACAUCAACUUCAAGAUGAAGAGGAAUAUGAAAGAAGG
rnacentral:lncRNA from 1 species